GCCCAGAGUGCCCACCCAGAACUCCACCUCUGACCUCACAAAGGCCUGCUUCAGAACUCAGUCUCCACUGCACUGCUGGCCAGACGAGGGAAGUUAUUUUGGGCAGUGCAUCUGGACUUGGUUCAAGUGGCACCAGCCAAAUCCCUGCCUUACUGACCUCUCCCCUGGAGGAGCAGGAGCAGCGCUCAAGGCCGCCUUGGGAGGGCUGAGAGGCAGGCUCUGGACUGGGGACACAGGGAUAGCUGAGCCCCAGCUGGGGGUGGAAGCUGAGCCAGAGACAGUCACAGAGGAACAAGAUCAAGAUGCGCUUUAACUGAGAAGCCCCCAAGGCAGAGGCUGAGAAUCAGAAGACAUUUCAGCAGACAUCUACAAAUCUGAAGGACAAAACAUGGUUCAAGCAUCUGGGCACAGGCGCUCGGGCCACUGUAUCAGGUCCACCCGUGGCUCCAAAAUGGUCUCCUGGUCCGUGAUAGCAAAGAUCCAGGAAAUAUGAUGCGAGGAAGAUGAGAGGAAGAUGGCGCGAGAGUUCCUGGCCGAGUUCAUGAGCACAUAUGUCAUGAUGAACAUACAUAUGAUAGUUGAGAAAGACACAUAUUCUGAUCAUGAAGAAAUAAACACAAGUUAAAUAUGACUAAGCAGAAAGAUGGAAGGACCAGGAACGGUGAUGCUAACUUGGAACCACGAUGCAGGCUCUAAACUCCUCUACAAUCAUCCUCCCUUGUGAGAAAAAUACAAUGAUGCUGGCCUCAUAAAAUGAGUUAAAGCAAUGGAAACAAAAGACAAAAUUGACAAAUGGGAUCUAAUUAAACUAAAGAGCUUCUGCACAGCAAAAGAAACUACCAUCAG
rnacentral:lncRNA from 1 species